rnacentral:lncRNA from 1 species
UCCAUGUUUAAUCAGGUUUAAGAAAAAAGGUAAAAGAAAAUACGAUUAUUUUCUUUUCAACCUAUUUAUGCAUAGGGAAAAGGCCUUUCAUUUUGGGAGGGAGAAUAUAUUUAGCCUGCCCUCCAAGCCAAACCCUGACAUCGGUAUUUUAAUGCUUACCAGAAGAGGAGCGAGCGAUUUCUCCAUUCUAUAUGAGUAAUCACCUAUCUCCAAUACACUGCAGACCCGAUGUCACCAAGUAAGUUCACGUCACGUCACUCAGAAAAUAACAACAACACGGUACCCUGAAUGACCUAUUC